GUCCGAGUGCGCAGCAGAAGCAGAAGCGCGCCCUUAAAAAGCUUUUUCAGUAAAGCCUUCUAUAGUUAGUGUGCGUUCUGCGAAACGGUUAAAAGACGAUGUUCACUCCUGCAGCAUUGGUUGCGCUUCUUUUUGUUUCAAGUCUCGUCACUGCACCUGACCCUGAAUCCAGUGCCGACCACGGAGGGUUUGACGUGUAUCCAGAAGUGUAUCCACCUAUCUCUGGGGACUCAGUGACAGACCCUUUGAAAGGAGCUGAAGUCUCAGUAAAAUCCGAAAAGGAUGUUUUGGGGAGAAGCCAACGGGCAAUUCGUAGUAAUGUGGCCUGAAGACAGCUUGGAGGUGAAGUACACGAUUACACUACCGUGGUUAAACUAGAAGCAUCAUCACUGGACACCGCACGACGAGGAAUAAAGAGAGUUGUGUCCGUAAA